UACGGGGGGGGCAAGCGUUGUUCGGAAUUACUGGGCGUAAAGGGCUCGUAGGCGGCCAACUAAGUCAGACGUGAAAUCCCUCGGCUUAACCGGGGAACUGCGUCUGAUACUGGAUGGCUUGAGUUUGGGAGAGGGAUGCGGAAUUCCUGGUGUAGCGGUGAAAUGCGCAGAUAUCAGGAGGAACACCGGUGGCGAAGGCGGUUCUCUGGGCAUGUCCUGACGCUGAGGAGCGAAAGUGUGGGGAGCGAACAGG
rnacentral:rRNA from 1 species